rnacentral:rRNA from 1 species
UACAGAGGGUGCGAGCGUUAAUCGGAAUUACUGGGCGUAAAGCGUGCGUAGACGGUUAUUUAAGUCGGGUGUGAAAGCCCCCGGCUCAACUGGGGAGGGUCAUUCGAUACUGAUCGACUCGAAGGCAGGAGAGGGUAGUGGAAUUCCCGGUGUAGUGGUGAAAUGCGUAGAUAUCGGGAGGAACACCAGUGGCGAAGGCGACUACCUGGCCUGUUCUUGACGCUGAGGCGCGAAAGCUAGGGGAGCAAACGGG